GCCUAUGAUAAAAACCGUGAAUAGGAAGUGCCGUCUUAUGCGAUAAGUGACGAUGUUUUUCCUCACUGCUCUGAGC
ensembl:snoRNA Small nucleolar RNA SNORD49